rnacentral:rRNA from 1 species
UACGUAGGGUGCGAGCGUUAAUCGGAAUUACUGGGCGUAAAGCGUGCGCAGGCGGCUUUGUAAGCCAGAUGUGAAAUCCCCGGGCUUAACCUGGGAAUGGCAUUUGGGACUGCAAAGCUUGAGUGUGGCAGAGGGGACUGGAAUUCCUGGUGUAGCAGUGAAAUGCGUAGAGAUCAGGAGGAAUACCGAUGGCGAAGGCAGGUCCCUGGGCUGACACUGACGCUCAUGCACGAAAGCGUGGGGAGCAAACAGG